GUAGGGCAAAUGAUGAUAUGCUAUUUAAUGGGUAAUUUGCAACUGAAGUAUAUCUUUGAUGAUAUCAUCCUGGAGACCUGAACUGAUGCCCUAU
rfam:Ricinus communis ctg_1100012359682, whole genome shotgun sequence.